GGGGGUGUAUUGGUUUCGACAGAGAAUAUUCGCCUACGUGGCAAGCCGGAGAUUGAACUCUCUCCGUGAGAAAAAUUGUUCAUCAAACAAAUAGCAUCAAAUCGCUAAUCGCUAAUGUAAAGAACAAUGUACUUGCAGUUGCUGAUGCAAUUGCUAACGCAUUUGUACCUAACAUGGCGCUUGCAACAUUCGCCUAACUAUACGUUUUGCGUGAGCAAGGACUUGGAUAAAACUGUCUCGGUUGAGUUUUCCCAGGUCUUCACAUAGACCGAGUGCACUGUUACACCUGUGGCACGGGGGGUAACAUUAAGACUUAAACGGCCGGAGUCUAAGAGUUUUUUAGUUAUUUUCUAUUCUUAGUACUACCCAAACCAAAAAUAACCUACGCUUGUGAACAACUGCAUAGGUAGAAUUUCUAUUGGACGCGGGUUCGAUUCCCGCCAUCUCCAUUG
rnacentral:tmRNA from 1 species